rnacentral:rRNA from 1 species
GGUUUGAUCGUAGCUCAGAUUGAACGCUGGCGGGAUGCUACAUGCAAGUCGAACGGCAGCACGGACUUCGGUCUGGUGGCGAGUGGCGAACAGGUGAGUAAUGUAUCGGAACGUGCCUAGUAGCGGGGGAUAACUACGCGAAAGCGUAGCUAAUACCGCAUACCUUCAGGAAAGCGGGGGGACCUUCCGGGCCUCGCACUAUUAGAACGGCCGAUAUCGGAUUAACUAGUUGGUGGGGUAACGGCUCACCAAAGCGACGAUCCGUAGCUGGUUUGAGACGACCAGCCACACUGGGACUGAACUGCAGCCCAGACUCCUACGGGAGGCAGCAGUAAGGAAUUUUGGACAAUGGAAACCUGAUCCAGCCAUCCCGCGUGUGCGAUGAAGGCCUUCGGGUUGUAAAAGCACUUUUUGGCAGGAAAGAAACGAGCGGGAUAAUACCCCGUGCAACUGACGGUACCUGCAGAAUAAGCACCGGCUAACUACGUGCCAGCAGCCGCGGUAAUACGUAGGGUGCAAGCGUUAAUCGGAAUUACUGGGCGUAAAGCGUGCGCGGGCGGUUCGGAAGAAGAUGUGAAAUCCCAGAGCUUAACUUUGAACUGCAUUUUUUAACUACCGAGCUAGAGUGUGUCAGGGAGGUGGAAUUCGCGUGUAGCAGUGAAAUGCGUAGAUAUGCGGAGGAACACCGAUGGCGAAGGCAGCCUCCUGGGAUAACACUGACGCUCAUGCACGAAAGCGUGGGGAGCAAACAGGAUUAGAUGCACCUGGUAGUCCGCCUAAACGAUGUCAACUAGCUGUUGGGGCCUUCGGGCCUUGUGUGCAGCGCAGCUAACGCGUGAAGUUGACCGCCUGGGGAGUACGGUCGCAAGAUUAAAACUCAAAGGAAUUGACGGGGACCCGCCACAAGCGGUGGAUGAUGUGGAUUAAUUCGAUGCAACGCGAAAAACCUUACCUACCCUUGACAUGUCUGGAAUCCCGAAGAGAUUUGGGAGUGCUCGCAAGAGAACCGGAACACAGGUGCUGCAUGGCUGUCGUCAGCUCGUGUCGUGAGAUGUUGGGUUAAGUCCCGCAACAGGCGCAACCCUUGUCAUUAGUUGCUACGAAAGGGCACUCCUAAUGAGACUGCCGGUGACAAACCGGAGGAAGGUGGGGAUGACGUCAAGUCCUCAUGGCCCUUAUGGGUAGGGCUUCACACGUCAUGCAAUGGUCGAGACAGAGGGUCGCCAACCCGCGAAGGGGAGCCAAUCCCAGAAACCCGAUCGUAGUCCGGAUCGCAGUCUGCAACUCGACUGCGUGAAGUCGGAAUCGCUAGUAAUCGCGGAUCAGCAUGUCGCGGUGAAUACGUUCCCGGGUCUUGUACACACCGCCGUCACACCAUGGGAGUGGGUUUUACCAGAAGUAGUUAGCCUAACCGUAAGGAGGGCGAUUACCACGGUAGGAUUCAUGACUGGGGUGAAGUCGUAACAAGGUAA